rnacentral:tRNA from 2 species
GCCGGCGUGGCGGAAUAGGCAGACGCACAGGACUUAAAAUCCUGCGAUACAAAUAUCGUACCGGUUCGAUCCCGGUCGCCGGCA